GAGUAAUGUCUGGGAAACUGCCUGAUGGAGGGGGAUAACUACUGGAAACGGUGGCUAAUACCGCAUAACGUCGCAAGACCAAAGAGGGGGACCUUCGGGCCUCUUGCCAUCAGAUGUGCCCAGAUGGGAUUAGCUAGUUGGUGAGGUAACGGCUCACCAAGGCGACGAUCCCUAGCUGGUCUGAGAGGAUGACCAGCCACACUGGAACUGAGACACGGUCCAGACUCCUACGGGAGGCAGCAGUGGGGAAUAUUGCACAAUGGGCGCAAGCCUGAUGCAGCCAUGCCGCGUGUAUGAAGAAGGCCUUCGGGUUGUAAAGUACUUUCAGCGGGGAGGAAGGUGUUGUGGUUAAUAACCACAGCAAUUGACGUUACCCGCAGAAGAAGCACCGGCUAACUCCGUGCCAGCAGCCGCGGUAAUACGGAGGGUGCAAGCGUUAAUCGGAAUUACUGGGCGUAAAGCGCACGCAGGCGGUCUGUCAAGUCGGAUGUGAAAUCCCCGGGCUCAACCUGGGAACUGCAUUCGAAACUGGCAGGCUUGAGUCUUGUAGAGGGGGGUAGAAUUCCAGGUGUAGCGGUGAAAUGCGUAGAGAUCUGGAGGAAUACCGGUGGCGAAGGCGGCCCCCUGGACAAAGACUGACGCUCAGGUGCGAAAGCGUGGGGAGCAAACAGGAUUAGAUACCCUGGUAGUCCACGCCGUAAACGAUGUCUACUUGGAGGUUGUGCCCUUGAGGCGUGGCUUCCGGAGCUAACGCGUUAAGUAGACCGCCUGGGGAGUACGGCCGCAAGGUUAAAACUCAAAUGAAUUGACGGGGGCCCGCACAAGCGGUGGAGCAUGUGGUUUAAUUCGAUGCAACGCGAAGAACCUUACCUGGUCUUGACAUCCACAGAACUUUCCAGAGAUGGAUUGGUGCCUUCGGGAACUGUGAGACAGGUGCUGCAUGGCUGUCGUCAGCUCGUGUUGUGAAAUGUUGGGUUAAGUCCCGCAACGAGCGCAACCCUUAUCCUUUGUUGCCAGCGGUCCGGCCGGGAACUCAAAGGAGACUGCCAGUGAUAAACUGGAGGAAGGUGGGGAUGACGUCAAGUCAUCAUGGCCCUUACGACCAGGGCUACACACGUGCUACAAUGGCGCAUACAAAGAGAAGCGACCUCGCGAGAGCAAGCGGACCUCAUAAAGUGCGUCGUAGUCCGGAUUGGAGUCUGCAACUCGACUCCAUGAAGUCGGAAUCGCUAGUAAUCGUGGAUCAGAAUGCCACGGUGAAUACGUUCCCGGGCCUUGUACACACCGCCCGUCACACCAUGGGAGUGGGUUGCAAAAGAAGUAGGUAGCUUAACCUUCGGGAGGGCGCUUACCACUUUGUGAUUCAUGACUGGGGUGAAGUCGUAACAAGGUAACCGUAGGGGAACCUGC
rnacentral:rRNA from 1 species